rnacentral:rRNA from 1 species
GAUGAACGCUGGCGGCGUGCCUAAUACAUGCAAGUCGAGCGAACAGACGAGGAGCUUGCUCCUCUGACGUUAGCGGCGGACGGGUGAGUAACACGUGGAUAACCUACCUAUAAGACUGGGAUAACUUCGGGAAACCGGAGCUAAUACCGGAUAAUAUAUUGAACCGCAUGGUUCAAUAGUGAAAGACGGUUUUGCUGUCACUUAUAGAUGGAUCCGCGCCGCAUUAGCUAGUUGGUAAGGUAACGGCUUACCAAGGCGACGAUGCGUAGCCGACCUGAGAGGGUGAUCGGCCACACUGGAACUGAGACACGGUCCAGACUCCGACGGGAGGCAGCAGUAGGGAAUCGGCCGCAAGGGGCGAAAGCCUGACGGUGCAACGGCGCGUGAGUGAUGAAGGUCUUCGGAUCGUAGAACUCUGUUAUUAGGGAAGAACAAAUGUGUAAGUAACUAUGCACGUCUUGACGGUACCGAAUCAGAAAGCCACGGCUAACUACGUG